AUAUUUUAUAUGUUUCCUGUUUUUCUUUCUGUUCUCUUAGCAGUUUAACCUCAUAUUACAUCUUACCCCAUUUAAGAGCCUAAUUGCAAACUUGGGGCUGCGCACUAAAAUUUCUAUUUUGACUAUCGUGAUGAUUUAUUUUGUUUUGGAUUGUUCUUAGAAGUAUUGCCUUCUAGAAUUUAUUGCCCAAUGAUGAAAACUACUCCCUCCGUUCUAAUUAUGGAAUGGAGCGAGUGUUUGAACUAAAAUCAUGACAAGAAUUAUGGAACGGAGGGAGUAGUAUGUAGAGAUGGCACAUGUCAUGAUCUCUGUGUGUGUGCGAGCGCGUGUGUGCUGACAGCUGAUCUACCUUUGUUUAUGCCCUUAUGGGUGAAUUGAAGAUUGUCUCUCUGUCUCAUGCCGUCAAUGAAUGCUACAUACUCCCUCCGUUCCUUUAUAUAAGGUGUAUUUGUUUUUAGAAAAGUCAAACGAGUGCAAGUUUGACCGAGUUUUUAGAAAAAUAUAUGAACAUUCAUAAUACAAAAUUUAUAUCAUUUUAUCCAACAUGAAAAGUAGUUUCAUAUUUUAUCUACUAGGCAUUGCAGUUGUUGUUAUUUUAUUCUAUAAUCUCAGUCAAACAUUCACAUGGUUGACUUGCACGGAAACCAAUACACCUUAUAUUCUGGAACGGAGGGAGUAUUACAUAUAUGAAUUACUGAAGGCACAGGCUUCAUUUUCAUAUCUUACACAAAUUACUGGUAAACUUUUGUUUGAUAUAUUGAUUUUCAAUUUAGUCUUGCAGAUCUGUAUAUAUUGGCUCGAUGGAAACCCUUCAUUUGCAUUGCUGGCUCUUGUGCUUAGGUUUUGCAUUAUCACCAUUUGGCUUCUUCCAUUUGGUGAAUUUGCUUGUUUAAUCUGGUCAAGGUCAGGUUUGUUCUAUUAAUUUGUUUAUUAUGUUUCUAGUUUCCUUUUUUUUUGUCGUUGUUUGGCUUUGCUAUGGCUAUUUGAUCUGAUCAAUCUUGGUAUAAUGUUCCUUUCCUAUUUUGUUUGGUGCAUUUUUACUGUGCUAUAUUUUUCCUUGUUACUUGGAUUUGCCCUUGGCCUGAUGAUGAUUAUGAUGGAACCCCAUGGAUGGAUUGGCUCAGUUUUGAGCUCCAAACAGGGUCAGCCAUUGCAAUUGCAAGGUUGAAACUCCUGAAAUGUCUAAUGCAGCGAUGUCUUCUCUGUUCUCGGCGCAAGGUGUGUGCUUGGGGAUCGGAUGCAAGCUCGACCACUGACAGAUGGACCUGCCCAUGCGGCAGGUCUAUCUCUUUCUUUUUCUUCUUCUUUUUCCGUCGUCGUUGUCGUAGCAGUCACCUUGUCUCGUAUACCGGUGCAUCCAGACACGCCCCAGUGCCAGCUUUGAAGCCCGCUGCAUUAGCCUGUGAUGAAACAGAAAUCUGAGGGUUGCAAUACAACUUUUCUUGGUGUUUUCAUUGGAAUCGGUCUCUUUUGCGCGUGCUCACUGCCAACAGCCAGUGUGCACAUGUGUUUUUAUGGUGCAAUACUGUCAUUUAGAUGCUCAAUGGUGGAACCUGACAAUAAGUCAGACAUAGCAUGAGGUAUCCUCUGGGGCAUGCAUGCUUUGCUUCUCUUGUUUCACUAUCUUGGUGUCUUGGCAAAGCUUUAGGCUAGUGCUCUGAAUCUGAAUAAAGGUAUGUGCUUGAUGGAUCACGUUCUGACAGAUGUACCAGUCCAUCUGAGGAUAAUUUUUCAUACAUUCAUUAUUUGUUUCUUCGUGUUAUCAUUGUUGUCGUGUCCCGUGUCAUAUGAAUCAUAAAAUUUCCAUUUUCCAUUCUCAGAUGUAGGUUAGUUCUUCUGUAGUAAAUGUGGCAUGCUAUGGAUUCAGUGAUCAAAUGUCUUGUCUAUGCUUGUUGAUUUUCUUUCUGCUUCUUUAUCAGUUUUCCUAUGCCUCUUUAUGAAACAUCAUAUUACACCUUGACCCAAUUAAUAUCCCAAUUGUGAACCUGUUGCUUGCACUAAAUUUCUAUUUUGACAGAAUCUUGAUUCAUUUCGUUUUGGUUGGUGGAUAGAAUCAUUGAAGUAUUGGCUUCUAUAAUGCAUUGCCCAAUGAUGAAAACUGAAAAUGUAGAGAUGGCACUUACAUGAUCCUUUCCUCCCCCCGCCCCGCACCUCUCUCUCUCUCUCUCUCUCUCUCUCUCUCUCUGGAUGCGUAAUCACGCAUGCAGCAGCAGCAGCAACAACAACAGCAGUUCACAGCAGAUCAACCUUUCACAUGGCCUUAUAGACAAAAGGAAGAUCAUUUCUUGUGCCAUCAGUGAACGUUGCAUCCUACAUCUAUGGCACCUGAGGGCAUGAUGUUUCUUUCUCAUACCUUAUACAAAUUGCCGGCUAAGUUUUGAUUGUUUUAUUUAUUUUCAGUUCCAUCUUGCAGAUCCGUCUCCGUUGGCUUGAUGGGGACCCGUAAUUGGCAUUGUUGUCUCCUAUGUUUAGACUUUACAUCAUUUUGUGCAUUUGCUGUGGUUUCAUCUGAUUAUGAUCAAGCGUUCUCUGUUGAUUUCUUCGUACAUUUCUAGUACCUUUUUAGUUCAUGGUUUUGCUUUUCGCCUCGGCAGAGGAAAAUCUUUGUAGUCUGAUGAUUUAUCAGGAGAGAUCACUGUUGUAAAUCAGCUUGGAAUUGAGUUCCGAUCUCCAAGUGGCAGCCCUUUACCAGGGUGAAGAUUUUGAAGUGGCUUAAGUGUUUCUCGUUUCUCUCUGCAAUGUUUAUUAGUGGUUCAAAUUGGUAUGUUUAUGAAUUGUGCUUCAAAUUUCUCCUUCCUGUCCUUGUACCGCCAAGCUCACACACCAAUGUUGUGGUGUUGUUGCUUCCAUUUCUUUUAUCUGAUCUAGGUACAGAUAGGCUUUGCUGGUCUGUUUGUUUUUGCAUUGUAUUGUUAGUAUGUUUAAAGUUGUUGCUCGGAUUUACCAUUGGCCCCAUGAUGAUUAAUAGAAGACUGACUUUGGUUGUGCUUAAAUGCGGCUGCACUUUGCUCUUGGAAUGGCUAAUGCAGCGUUGGCUUUUUCUGUUCUGGGCGCUGAAGCAUGCUCUUGGAAAGUGGGAAUCAGGUGAAAACUGAGAGAUGGGCCUGCUGUUCAUGUGGAAGGGCCAUCUCUCUGCUUCCACUCUUUCUUUCUUUCUGCUUGUUGUCGCUUCUGUUGUGGUUGUCAUUGCAAUGGUUGUACUAAUCAGGUUUUCUGCCGAUCCAUUUGGGACACUCUUUUGAUAUCUGAGGGCGAUCUUCCUGUGGGCGUGCUAUCAGACCAUCAGUAUACGCACCUUGUCUUUAUCGUGUUGUAUUAUCGUUUAAAGCGCAAUGGUGGACCGAAACCUCCCUAGGUAGAGGAGAUGGUGCAUGCCUGCUCUGCUUCUGUUUGCCUUGAUGAUUGAUUGACGACACGAGGUCACUAACAUCCCUUCCCCAUCUCUCUUAUCGCUGCCUCUGCCCUACCUGAUACAUCCCUUUGACUCUCUUGUGAGAUACUAGCAGAUUUCUUGACAACUGUUGUUGUUGAUUUUUUGAUAACUCGUGAUGACCAUCUCUUGAACCAUUUUGCAAGGCCAAAUGUGUUACUAGAUCUGAAGGCGUAAGAUUACUACCUGACAGAUGCAACAACCCUUGUGUGGUUCAUUUUUCGCUAUAUUUGUACUCUUUAGUUCAUUUCCUCUUUCCUCAGGCUGUACAGUAUGGGAUCAUGAUCUUUCUGUUUGCUGCUCUUGAAUGAAUGUUAAAUGUGACGGUCCUCCUGUGGCCCCUUGAUUCCUCCUGCUGCUGCUGGUGGCACAACAAGUCUCCUACGGCUAUUUUUCCUUUCAGUUAUUUGGUUUUGUGGUGGUUUGAUUAUUUGUUUUGACUGAGCUCGGUACGGAUUUAAUUUCGUAGUUUGUUUGGUCCUAUUACUGUAUUUUCACUUGCUGCAUGGAUUUUUCCCUUGGUCCAAUGAUGAUUAGGUUGACAGCCCCAUGUGGGGAUGGAAUGGAUAGAUAGAUAGAUAGUUUGGCCUAGAUUUGAGCUUGAAACGGGGUCAGCCGUUGCAUUCGCAAGGGAGCCCCUGAAAUGGCUAAUGCAGCGCUUGCUUCUCUGUUCUGGGCGCUGAGGCAUCUGUCUUUGGGUCAGCUGUUGCUUCCGCGGAAGCCCUGCCACUGACUGAUGGGCCGGCUCUUGCUACAGGUCUACUUCUCCUGCUCGUCGCCGCCAUCACCUUGCCUCCUCUUCGGUUCACCCAGACAUGCCCCAGUGCCAGCUUUGAAGCCCACUGCAUUAGCCUAUGAUGAAACUGAAAUCUGAGGGCCAUGUUAUGUGAUUCAGAAUUCUUGGAAUUUCAUCUGAAUCGAACUCUUUUGCAUGGUCAUACUGUAAAACAGACAGCUUCUGCACAUUGUCUUAUGUUAUACUCCCUCCGUUUCACUCAUUUUGCUUCGUAUGUAGUCCAUAUUGAAAUCUCUAAAAGGACUUACAUUUAGGAACGGAGGGAGUAUAUUAUCGGACUGGAACCUCCCUACGUGGAGGAUAUGCUGCAUGCCUGCCCUGCUUCUCUGCUCCCAUUUGCCUUGCUCACGUGUACUGUUAUAGCUGCCUCUGCCCUGCCUAAUACAUCCCUUUGACUCUCUUUUGUGUGCUCGCAGAUUUCAUGACUGCUUUUUUGUGUUGAUUUUUCAUAACCCGUGAUGAUCAUCUCUUGAACCAUUUAUGAAGGCCAAAAUGUGUUUGGUCUGACGGGAUAAGAUCAACCCCUGACAGGCAUAGCAGCCCCUGUGUGGUUCAUUUUUCGAUAUAUGUAUACACUUCAUUUACGUUAUUUUGUGUCACGUGUCAUCAAGAACUGUUCAUUUGCCAUUCUCAGAUGCAGGUUGGCUCUUUCAUAGUAGUAAAUAUGGCAUACUUUUGGUACAGAUUUUGUGACCGAGCGUAUUUUAUACUCCCUCCAUCCAUUUUUACAAGGUGCAUCCAUUUAUACUCUGUUCUAGGUUUCAUAGAGUGCCUUGGUAUGAGAGAUUCACAAGUUAGGCCCUGUAAAAAUGGAUGGAGGGAGUAUGUUUCCUGUUUUUCUUUCUUUUUUCUUAGCAGUUUAACCUCAUAUUACAUCUUACCCCAUUUAAGAGCCUAAUUGUGAACUUGGGGCUUUGCGCUAAAAUUUCUAUUUUGACUAUCGUUUUGGAGCUACCGGGCUGCCCUUUUUUCUUGUUUAAUCUGGUCAAGGUCAGGUUUGUUCUAUUAAUUUGUUUAUUAUGUUUCUAGUAUCCUUUUGUUGUUGUUGUUUGGCUUUGCUAUGGCUAUUAGAUGUGAUCAAUCUUGGUAUAAUGUUGCUUUCUUAUUUUGUUUGGUGCAUCUCUACUGUGCUAUAUUUUCCCUUGUUACUUGGAUUUGCCCUUGGCCCAAUGAUGAUUAUGAUGGAACCCCAUGGAUGGAUUGGCUCAGUUUUGAGCUCCAAACAGGGUCAGCCAUUGCAAUCACAAGGUUGAAACUCCUGAAAUGGCUAGUGCAGCGAUGUCUUCUCUGUUCUCAGCGCAAGGUGUGUGCUUGGGGAUCGGAUGCAAGCUCGACCACUGACAGAUGGACCUGCCCAUGCGACAGGUCUAUCUCUCUUUUUCUUCUUCUUCUUUUUCCGUCGUCGUCGUCGUCGUAGCGGUCACCUUAUCUCUUAUACCGGUGCAUCCAGACACGCCUCAGUGCUAGCUUUGAAGCCCGCUGCAUUAGCCUGUGAUGAAACAGAAGUCUGAGGGUUGUAAUACAACUUUUCUUGGUGUUUUCAUUGGAAUCGGACUGUUUUGCGCCUGCUCACUGCCAGCAGUGUGCACAUGUGUUGUUAUGGUGCACUGUCAUUUAGGUGCUCAAUGGUGGAACCUCACAAUAAGUCAGACACAGCAUGAGGUUGUGCAAUAUAUUUGGGGAAUCAUAAUGUUUGCCGUCGCUGCUCUCGAACGGUGAUGUUAGAUGCUCCUUGUACGUGUAGCCCCUCAUUGCUGUUGCUGCUGCUGCUGCUGCUGGUGCAACAAGUCUUCUACUUGCAUACUUGUUGCCGCUGCCGGUGGUGGUGGGUUUGAGAGACGAUGGAUGUCAGAUCAAAGCUUGUGCUAUCCAUGGUGCAGUAUCAUUUGUGUCUCGGUGCGUAUUCUAUUCUCUUUCGUGCCUGUCUAGAACCUUUGGGACAACCAGAUUUUAUAACUGUAUAUCAAUAUCUUUUCUGAAAUGGAAUUGAUACCUUUUCUGGCAAGAUGCAAUAUGCUGGUGGGAACAUAUGCGACUAUUGUGUAGUACAUCUCUGAUGUUUCAGUGGUGGUUGGAUUUCUCCGGUUUCA